AACGAACGCUGGCGGCAUGCCUAACACAUGCAAGUCGAACGAAGCCUUCGGGCUUAAUGGCGCACGGGUGCGUAACGCGUGGGAAUCUGCCCUUGGGUUCGGAAUAACAGUUAGAAAUGACUGCUAAUACCGGAUGAUGUCUUCGGACCAAAGAUUUAUCGCCCAAGGAUGAGCCCGCGUAGGAUUAGGUAGUUGAUGGGGUAAUGGCCCACCAAGCCGACGAUCCUUAGCUGGUCCGAGAGGAUGAUCAGCCACACUGGGACUGAGACACGGCCCAGACUCCUACGGGAGGCAGCAGUGGGGAAUAUUGGACAAUGGGCGAAAGCCUGAUCCAGCAAUGCCGCGUGAGUGAUGAAGGCCUUAGGGUUGUAAAGCUCUUUUACCAGGGAUGAUAAUGACAGUACCUGGAGAAUAAGCUCCGGCUAACUCCGUGCCAGCCGCCGCCGUAAGAC
rnacentral:rRNA from 1 species